rnacentral:lncRNA from 1 species
UAGUAGUUGAUUCCGGAUAUAGAAAAGAUAUUGUAUUCGAGAGCAUAAGGCCGCUUUUGAAACCCUUGGUUUCUCUUGAGACGAUCAAGUUUUAACCAGUGAGAGAAUUGCAACAGUUGUGCCAAAAAGAGAACUACGUGUUAAAAAGAGCCUGUUGUGUCAACUGACAAUUCUACAGCAACUGUUAUAGCUGAGGUUGAAGCCAAUGACGUCAUAUAUAAAGAGUCAUGCACUGGUCCAAAUAAGGCAGGAGCCAAGAAACGUGCUUCAAAAAGCUGUUUUCAGGUCGUUAAAAGAGAGUAUAUCCACCAAAUUUCACCUACUUCCGCUCCUCUCAUCUCCCAAGCGUAAUAGGCAAAAGGAAGAGAAUUGAAAGUGUGAUGAUAACUUUGUAUGCUUCACUACUAUGAGUCCCUCGUAUGCUGAACUUUGAGUUUUCCGAUCUUUCAUUAAAAGGAUUUUAUUAUAUUUUUUUUAAAACACAUGGUACUAGUGUUGAGAUAAGAAUUGUUGAAAAUGACAAUCUUAGGGGAUGUAAAUUGUAUAGAUUAAGAGUAAAAUAUUUUUAAAGAAUUCUCAUCCCUAAGAUCUUUGAUUUUAAAGAUCUUUCUAUCUUUAAAAAUAUUUUACUCUUAAUCUAUACAAUUUACAUACCCUAAGAUUGUCAUUUUCAACAAUUCUCAUCCUAGCACUACUAACAAGUGUUUUAAAAAAAUAAUAAUAAAAACCUUUUGAUGAAAAAUUGGAGAACUCAAAGUUCAGCAUAUGAGGAACUCACAGUAGUGAAGCAUACAAAGUUAUCAUUACUCUUUCACUUCUCUUCCUUUUGCCUUUUAUGCUUGGGAGAUGAAAGAGGAAUUGGACGAAAUUUGCCGGACAUGCUCUCUUUUAACGACCUCAAAACAGCUUUUGAAGCACUUUUUUUGGUUUGUGCCUUAUUUGGACCAGUGCAUGACUCUUUGUGUAUGAAGUCAUUGGCUUCAACCUCACUAUAGCAGUUGCUGUAGAAUUGUCAGUUGACACAACAGGCUCUUUUUAACACACAUAGUUCUCUUUUUGGCACAACUGUUGCAAUUCUCUCACUGGUUGAAACUUGAUCGUCUCAAGAGAAACCAAGGUUUUCAAAAGUGGCCUUAUGCUCUCGGAUUAAUACAAUAUCUUUUCUAUAUCCGGAAUCUACUAAUAUUUCCUUAGCUAGAGAUUUUAUUAUAUCUCCAAGAUCCUGUACCACAUGCCCAACAAAAUCAAAUGAAUGCGGGAAUCACUAUCUUAGAUGCUUAUAUCCAUAGGAAUUGAGAAAAUAGGCUUUUAUCUGUAAAGCUUUAAUUCAUGCCAAAAAAGUAAGUCCAUUAUAAUCAAUAAUUUUAAAUUAAUUCAUGCCAAAAAAUUUGUUGAACCUGUAAGAUAUUGUGCUUCGAUAAUUUUGGCUAUAAUUUAAAAAUAUUAUGUUAUUAAUAUUUUAGAUUGUUAUAAAUAGAAUACAUCACUUCAAUAUGGUAGUAAAUGAUGUCUAAUCUUCCCACAAAUUUCUUAAAGGCAUGUAGAGGUUUGACAAUUAUAGUCAGUCAUAACAGCUUGUCUAUAAUUAUAGAUAAGGGGAGAGUAUGGUUGGAGUGUGAUAUUUUCAACUGAUUAUCUAUUCUUUUUAUUUGUGGUAUGCCAACUCACUUUUUAACUAAGGGUUUUAAUGAUUGGAAUUUGACCCGGGUUGUCAUAUGCAUAUGGCCUUUUUGGGGCAUCCUGGUUUUGCCGGAGACCCUCCUCCAUCUUGUGAGAGGACUGAACCAACUUGGUGAACGCUGCAAGCACGAUGAAGGAAUUUUUUUUUUUUUGCGUGAUAAACAUAUGGCUUCUUUUACAAUCAAGGUCAAGUAAGAGGGUGUCAUAUGCAAACUCAUUAGUGCUUCCGGUGAAGUUGUUUCCAAGAGGCCGGUUAAGAAAGCUUUUCUCAAGUGAUUAAAUGAGAGCAUGUUGAACAGGCCACAACUUGUCCCUGCCAAAAGGGGGCAUGUGAAGCAGAUAGAAGAAAAAGAAGAUAUUCUGAUAAAUUUUACUGUUUGACUUCCCACUAGAAGUGGUGCUUUAUGCAUAGAAGGCCAUAGUGAUUUAUUCUUUGUAGGAAGAUAACUUGCCAGAAUUUUGGAAACAAAAUUUUACCAGCUCUUAGUUGAUUUAUGUUUGUUAACGAGUCAGUGUCUUCUGUCAUAUAAAAUUGUUAGCUGAAAUUAGUUAAAUGUUAUUAUAAAAAGUUCAAAUCUAGUUGAAGUUUGAUACUUUACACUUUUGUAUAAUGCACAACUCACAAUUAUAUUUUAUUAUUUUAUUUAUGUGGACUCCAAAGUCCAUUAAACUUUGAGCACUAUGAAUCCUAGUUCACAUGAUCCAAACACAUUUAAUUGUUAGAGUUGCCAUAAAACCAAUAUAUAGUGUAAUAUAAUAGUCCAACAUCAUUGCCAUAACAUUUAUAGCUAACAUCAUAGGAGAUGCUCUAAACUAGUAAUAUUUAUUUGGGAAAUGAAAUGUAUAUUUCACAUUAAAAAUAUUAUACUACACAUAGAAGCGUUGCUUACAAUUUUUUAGCAAGUGAAGUGUUUCUUAUUUUUCUUUUGCAGCGUCUUGAGUUUCUUGGAAAUUCUGUACCGGAUUAUAUCUCAACCAUGCAUCUGUACCAUAAAUACCCAGGAAUAUCACGUGGAUUGCUAACUGAUCUUAGAUCAGCUUCUGUGAACAAUGAUUUUUACUCUUUAUGUGCGAUUUGGGCCGGAUUGUAGAAGCACAUUCUUCAUGCUUCCCAAAAACUUCAUAGGCAAUUGGAGUCCUCUGUUCAGAAAUUAGAUCCAUUAUUAAUGGAACAAUAUUUGGAUGGGAGUCAGAAAAUUCUCUUCCCAAGGUCAGUUUCCGAAGCUUGAUGUGAUUAUUUAUUUCCGUUUAAACUUCCCCUAAAAACAAAUUUUUUGGAAAAAAAGAGAAAGGAAUGUUAUCUCAUAAAAACUAAAAUUAUAUAUAUUGGAUAACAAGUAAUUUAUUGAUUAUAAUGGACUUACUUUUUUGGCAUGAAUUAAAUCUUUAUAGAAUAUUACCUACAUUUUCACUUCCUAUGGAUUUAAGCAUUUAAGAUAGUCAUUCCCGCAUUCAUUUGAUUUUGUUGUGCAUGUGGUACACGUUCUUAGAGAUCUAAUAGAAUCUUUAGCAUGGGAAAUAGUAGUUGAUUCCGGAUAUGGAAAAGAUAUUGUAUUCGAGAGCAUAAGGCCGCUUUUGAAACCCUUGGUUUCUUUUGAGACGAUCAAGUUUUAACCAGUGAGAGAAUUGCAACAGUUGUGCCAAAAAGAGAACUACAUGUUAAAAAGAGCCUGUUGUGUCAACUGACAAUUUUACAGCAACUGUUAUAGCUGAGGUUGAAGCCAAUGACGUCAUAUACAAUGAGUCAUGCACUGGUCCAAAUAAGGCUGGAGCCAAGAAACGUGCUUCAAAAAGCUGUUUUUAGGUCGUUAAAAGAGAGUAUGUCCACCAAAUUUCACCCACUUCCUCUUCUCUCAUCUCCC